rnacentral:misc_RNA from 1 species
GUGUCCUUUCGUGGAUGGUGGUGGGGUACCGCCCGUAUAUUGAGAACUACACAGUGGACGCGAGCAUCUUAGAUUCACCGGUAUUCCGGUGGAUCACAAAGAUCUAUUUAUAGAUCAUUGGUCAAUUCUGUCUCCUCUAGGCGAGGCGAAACGAUUCAAUCUCAUGUGAUCUCAAGAUUCUAAGAGCAAACGGUGGAUGCCUUGGCAUCUGGAGCCGAAGAAGGACGUAUAAAUCUGCGAUAAGCCUCGGGGAGCUGAUAAUAGAGCUGUGAUCCGAGGAUCUCCGAAUGGGGAAACCCCGCCAGGCCCUUUGGGUGACCUGGUGACUCCCGCCUGAAUAUAUAGGGCGGGUAGAGGGAACGUGGGGAAGUGAG